AUCAUGAACUUUAUCAACGGUGCAAGGAGAAGCCACGUGGAACACACCGGUUACGCCGGUAACAGCCGCGACAAUAGAGUCAUAAUCCAGAAGAUCGAUUUGAAACAAUCGGAGACGCGAUUCUGCACCUUCUAACGCUUCUAGAUGCUUUGUUUCCUUUUCGUAACUGAGAUCUUUAACGGUGGCGUUGACGGUGUAGCCGCGGUCCAGUAGGAGGCGGACGAGCCACGAGCCGAUGAAGCCACUGCCGCCGGUUACGCACACGAUCUUCGUGUUUGAUUGCGCCAUCUUUUUCAGUACUGUAUAGUGAC
rnacentral:lncRNA from 1 species